GUUCCCAUUAGUUCUACGGUAGAACUAAGCAGUAGAACUAGUGGGAACAAACCUGUAAUGCGUUUCAAGGACAAUCCGAGGUCCAGAAAUGACAAUGCUUCGUAUGUAUAUGAAGUGAAGCAGACAGGAGGCAGCAAAACCGCACCACUACAUUGCCGGGGAUCCCAGCAAGGGCUGUGGGCCAUAGCUCUGAGGCCCCUUAAAGGUGGUGGGAGGUCAUUCCAGCAGUGUGUGGCUGCAAAUUUGAAGCUGCCCCUAAAAGCUGCAGUUUUGUGAGAAGGAACCUUCAGCGGAGCAACUAUGGAGCGAAGACUAUAGCCGAAGACUCGGGAUAAGUCCCCCUCCGUGCGGAUCCUCUGCGCCUUGUCCCCCGGCGCCUUCCUGACGAGGAUGCGACCCUGCUUGGUCCAGACAAACUUCCAGCCAAGAGCGCUGGCCGCUUCCCGUGCUUGACGAAAUAACAAGCGGUUAACUUUAGUCAACCGCUCGUUUAAGAAGAACCGCUGCGCCGGCCCGGGCAUGCCGAGAUCCGUCGUAGUUGCGCCUCGUCGCACUCGCGCGCUCGCCAUAAGCUGGUCACGCAGGUCUCGGCGAGCAAGGCGCACGACUAUCGGCCGCGGGCGUGAUAUGGUUGGUCCCGCUGAGUUCGUCGCGUUGAGCUGCCUGCCACCUACACGCUCUGCACUGACGAUAUCUCGAUCUUCCAGGCUGAUCCCUAACUUGUGACCUAAGGCUUUGAUUAAAUGGGUAGGGUUUUCCGCUUGUUCCUCCGGCAAGUUGGACACCUCUAUAUCAUUAGCAAGAAGCUCCUGGUCCCUAUCAUUGAGCUCCCGCCUCAGCUCCUCCACUAAUUCGCCUACGUUGUCGGAGUUCGUGGGCCUCGAGGUAGCACGCUGUUCAAGUGCGUCUACCCUGGCCUCUAGACCGUCGACGCGCGCGCUGCAGCAGUUCAAGGUGGACUUAAGCUCCGACAUUUCCACCUCCAUUUCUCUCCUAAACACCUGUAUCUCCGCACGAACCGCUCUCAGCUCGUGAAGGAUUACGUGCAGGUCAUUGCUAGGUACAGGUGACAACUCACGAAUGGUGGUGGUGGCGGCAUUGAGCGACGUUGCGUUUUUGCUAGGUGAGCUGGAGUCCAGGAUCGAAAUUCCUGCGACAUCGCUUGGAGAACUAUGUGUGGGGCCUCUGACAGGGGUAUCGUUUCUGUUGUCCCUAACAAUGUUUUUCUUACACUCGAGACAUCGCCAAGUGGGAGGAACGGAGGCUUUUGUAGUGAAUCCUCCACAUGUUCUACAGUAGAGAACCUUGCAUUUCCCACACCUAGCGCCAUCUACCGACGAGGUAUAACGAGAGCAACCUCCACAUUUGAUACCCGGCAUCGUUGGUGACUGUGACAGUUCAAGUAUCACAAGUGGUUCCGGUCCGACUCACUAGAUGGCGAUGUUGGUGAUCCACUAGACAGAUCAAUAAGCAGCUUGUCACCACGAGACAGAUGGCACUGCAGUUAGUGAUGGGCGAUUGCACUUUGUUAUAGUCUGUGGCAACGAUGUCAAAACUCACGUCCAGCAAACCAAAUUAAUUAUUUUGGCGGGUAACCGUAUAACUUUGUACCAAAAACCGUAUUUUAAUUUGUUGAUUUACAGCCCAAGGCCGCACUAUUUCACUCUCACUACAAACUAUGUAUAGCUGACUGACACAAUGUAAACAAUAAAAAGUUUUUGAUGCA
rnacentral:lncRNA from 1 species